rnacentral:rRNA from 1 species
GACGAACCGUGCGAACGUUGUUCGGAUUCACUGGGCUUAAAGGGCGCGUAGGCGGGCGACCGAGUCGGGGGUGAAAUCUUUCGGCCCAACCGGAAAGGGCCCCGAUACUGGCCGCCUCGAGGGGGUAGGGCAUGCGGAACUUCCGGUGGAGCGGUGAAAUGCGUAGAUAUCGGAAGGAACGCCGGUGGCGAAAGCGGCGUGCUGGACCCCUUCUGACGCUGAGGCGCGAAAGCCAGGGGAGCAAACGGG